GACGAGGGGUCCAAGCGUUGUUCGGAAUCAUUGGGCGUAAAGCGGGUGUAGGUGGCUCUAUAAGUCAGAAGUGAAAGCCCCGGGCUUAACCCGGGAAGUGCUUUUGAUACUGCAGAGCUUGAAUGUGGGAGAGGUUAGUGGAAUUCCCGGUGUAGCGGUGAAAUGCGUAGAGAUCGGGAGGAACACCAGAGGCGAAGGCGGCUAACUGGACAGGCACUGACACUCAACUACGAAAGCGUGGGGAGCAAACAGG
rnacentral:rRNA from 1 species